AAUAAUAUAUGCGUUCAAUGGAUGCCUUGGUGCAACACACCGAAGAAGGACGUGGAGGGCUGCGAUAUGCGCCGGUUAGCUGCCGUCAAGCUUUGACCCGGCGAUUUCCGAAUGGAGAAAUCCUCGUGCAUAGCACGAGUAAUUUCUAAUUUCUAAUUUUGCGAAGUAAAACUUCGCUUUCUAAUUUCUAAACUCACUACGCUAAAGCUCCGAGGAGCAGGCAAUUUGCUUGCCCAUCCGUAGCUUUUCAAAGCGAAGGAGGGUUUAGGAUUUAGGAUUUAGAUUUUAGGAUUUCCUCGAGCUAUGCAUGAAUCCUCGAGGGAAUACAUAGCUCGAGGAGGGGUACCGCCUGAACUGAAACAUCUAAGUAAGGCGAGGAAAAGAAAACAAUCCUUCGUCAAGACUUCGGAUUGCAAGCAAAAGUGACUUGUGGUCCGUAGCCUUGGCGAAGGGCCAUUCCCUGAGUAGCGGCGAGCGGAAGGGGAAAAGUCUAAACCUUGUCCAAAGGACAAGUAAUUUCUAAUUUCCCCUCCAAAGGAGGGUCUGCCUUUGGCAGAUAAUUUCUAAUUUCUAAUAAUUUUCAAAAUUCUAAUGUUUGAAAUUUGAUAAGAAAAUAUCAAAGAUAUUUUGAAACAUUUAGUAUUUAGAAUUUGUUUAGGAUUUGGGAUUUGAGAUUUAGGAUUUUCUUGCCCUGCGGGCAAGGGGUCGUGGGACUUCAAUACGGGGAUUUACUUGCGAUAGUUGAACAGUCUGGAAUGUCUGGCCAUAGAGAGUGAAAGCCUUGUAAGCGAAAUCAAUGGUAACCUUAGAAGAAUCCCAAGUACCACGGGACACGCGAAAUCCUGUGGGAAUCCGGCGGGACCACCCGCCAAGACUAAAUAUGUGUUGCGACCGAUAGUGAACUAGUACCGUGAGGGAAAGGUGAAAGAGUACCCCGGGAGGGGAAUGAAAAGUACCUGAAAUUGAACGCUAACAAGCAGCCGGAGCCGUCCUUCGCUUUUUGCUUCGUUCAAGCAAAAAGCUUCGGAUCGGUAAACCUUUCAAAUGGAUGAGGGGCUUGCCAUUCCGUAGCUCUGAACGAAGUGAAGAGCGUAGGAUGGUGACGACGUGCCUAUUGAAGAAUGAACCGGUGAGUUUCUCUAUACUGUAGUUUAACCACGUCUGACGUGGGUAGGCAAAGUGAAAGCGAGCGUUAAUAGCGCGUUUUUUACAGUAUAGUGAAGACCCGAAACCGCGUGAGCUAACCAUGGCCAGGUUGAAGUCUGCCUAACGGCGGAUGGAGGACCGAACCCGUGUCAGUUGCAAGUGGCUGGGAUGAGCUGUGGUUAGGGGUGAUAUGCCUAUCGAACGCGGAGAUAGCUGGUUCUCCCCGAAAUAUAUUUAAGUAUAGCCCGUGUUUUUAAACUCUAGGGGUAGAGCACUGAAUGGAUUGUAGUGUCGCAAGAUGUUGCUAUUCAACCAAACUCCGAAUACUAGAGCGUAUAAACAUGGAGUCAGUCCGGCCCGGAUAAGCGGGUCAGGGCAAAAGGGAAACAGCCCAGAUCCAAAGCUAAGGUCCCAAAGUGUAUCCUAAGUGUGAAAGGUAGUGUUUGUGCUCAGACAGCAAGGAGGUUGGCUUAGAGGCAGCCAUCCUUUAAAGAUAGCGUAACAGCUCACUUGUCGAUCCGCCAACUGGCGGAUGGCAUAGGCGCGCCGACAAUUUAUCGGGGCUAAGGAUAUCACCGAAGCUUGGAAUACUUGUGCAUGGCACAAGAAUUUUCAAUUAUAAAUUUUUAAUUUUUAAUGAAUUUUUAAUAUUUAAAUUUUAAGUUUUCAUUUCAAAUUUCAAAUUGAAAAUUGGAAUUUCUCGCGCUGUGCGCGAGUGUGGUAGGGGAGCGUUUGCAUUGCAGUGAAGGUCUUCCGUAAGGUCAGACUGGAGCGAUGUGAAGUGAGAAUGCCGGUAUGAGUAGCGAGACUCGGGUGAGAAUCCCGAGCGCCGAAAGUCCAAGGUUUCCUACGCAACGUUCGUCGACGUAGGGUUAGUCGGUCCUAAGGCGAGGCCAGAAGGCGUAGUCGAUGGAUAAGCAGUUAAUAU
rnacentral:rRNA from 1 species